AGUGAACGCUGGCGGCAGGCCUAAUACAUGCAAGUCGAACGGCAGCACAGCAGAGCUUGCUCUGUGGGUGGCGAGUGGCGGACGGGUGAGGAAUACGUGGGAAUCUGCCCAGUCGUGGGGGAUAACGUAGGGAAACUUACGCUAAUACCGCAUGCGCCCUUCGGGGAAAGCCGGGGGACCUUCGGGCCUGGCGCGAUUGGAUGAGCCCACGUCGGAUUAGCUAGUUGGCGGGGUAAAGGCCCACCAAGGCGACGAUCCGUAGCUGGUCUGAGAGGAUGAUCAGCCACACUGGAACUGAGACACGGUCCAGACUCCUACGGGAGGCAGCAGUAGGGAAUAUUGGACAAUGGGCGCAAGCCUGAUCCAGCCAUGCCGCGUGAGUGAAGAAGGCCCUCGGGUUGUAAAGCUCUUUGUCCGGAAAGAAAAGCGCCGGGUUAAUACCCUGGUGUCCUGACGGUACCGGAGAAUAAGCACCGGCUAACUUCGUGCCAGCAGCCGCGGUAAU
rnacentral:rRNA from 1 species